UUUCCCGACCAUUUUCAGUUAUUUGAAAAAAGAUUAUACUCCGUGUCUUCCUCUGAAAUCGCACUGAGCGCAGAGAUGCUCUGUCGUUUUUAUUAGUAACCAUUAUCAUCGACUCAUCUAAUAGCCUUUGGUUUCUGCAUUCUCCACGAAACUUCUUCCACCUUGUAGUAGGCUAUCUCUCCCACUUUCUCAAACUUCCUCACUACCCGUUUUCUUUCAUUUAUACUGAGCUUUUAUUUUUUAGGGUUUCAAUGUGUUUGUUCUAUGAAUCUUUUUUUUUUUGUUCGUCCACAGCUGAAAUAACUUCUAUUUUGUUGUAGGUUCUUCAAUAUUAUCUACUAAACUGAUUUUUUUUUCCAUAGAUUUAUAAGCAAUCUCUUGGGAUGACGAAGAAGAAACUGAUAACCAAUGGGAUUUUAAGUGGGGUAAACUUAAGGAGAAAUCACACAACAAUGUUCAUCUUUACGAAUCAUUUACUUUCGAAGGGGUUGAAUAUUUUCUCUAUGAUUGUGUUUAUUUGCAACCACCAGAUGAUUCAGAGGCUCCUUACAUAGGGAAGAUUGUCAAGAUUAUGGAUCAUCCAAGCUAUAGGAGGAAAGUUAAGAUAAUAUGGUUUUUUCGGCCUUCUGAUUUACCAAAUUGGCUUCGAAUCCGAGAGAUUACUUACCUUGUGCACGAGAUAUUCUUAGCGUCUGGGAAAGGUUCAGGCGUUGCCAACAUCAAUCCUGUGGAAGCAAUUUUGGGGAAAUGCAUUGUGAUUUGCACAUCAGAGGACAAAAGAAACCCACAACCUUCUAAUCAAGAACUAAGCACGGCUGAUUUUGUGUUCUCCCGCACAUUUGAUGUUCACGAAUGCACUUUUUCGGAUCAACUGGAUAACAAUAUAUUCGAAAUUGCAGUCGAGCACUUUUUUAAUAAUAAAGAGUACUCAAAGCUGAGCAGAUAUCAGGAAUCCAAAGAAGUAGAGAACCCCAAAUCUAGUGGUCCUGCUAUGGACAAGAUAAAGGCUGCUACUAUCCUCCAAACUAAAGAGGCUAAGCUGAAACCUGUUGAAGGUUUAGUGUAUCAUUCGGGCCCAUUUCAGAGUGGUUCUUUUGAGGAAAAUGUUAGGCUUGGUGAUUUGCGGAAACCACCUUCGCUUUCCUCUCCUCCAUUACAAGGCGGAGAAGUUAUGGGUAAUGCAGCGGGGGCACGAAAGCCAAGAAUGAGAUGCAAGGAUCCUGCAAUCUUACAUGUAAGACAUGACCAGCCAGUUGGCCUGGACAGAAUUAAAGCAAAUCCUGAAUUGGCACAAGGGGAUGAUAUGCAACUCGAUUUUCAACAUAAGAAGACAAAAGUAACAGCAGCGGAGUCUUUUCAACCAGCUAAUCGAGGGAUCUUAAGUAGCACGAACCUAAACAGAGGGAUCUUAAGUAGCACGGGCCUAAAUAAACUUACCAAGUUUACUGAUAAAGAAGUUGCUCUUAAACCAGUGCCCAAGAAGCUUACCACAGCUGAUACCUACUACCGUAAGAUGAAAAACUCUCUGAACACCAGAUGUGCCGACAUCAAAGAGCCAAAAAAAGAUUAUAUUCAACACGAUGAAGGGAUCUUCAAUCCUAUAAUUCCUAGUAAGAGACCAACCAAAUUUCCAGAUAGAGAAGUUGCUCCUGAAAAGAUUAUGCUAUGCAUGAUCAAUUGGCAGAAAAGAGCAGAGCUGAUAUUCAACAUCUCAACAUGAAAAAACCAGACCUGGUUGAAAGAAGAGAAACAGUACGUGCCAAAGAUCUCGGAGAACAUUACAGAGGGAUAACUAGUACUGAGAAUCUUAGUAAUAGAGUGACCAGGCUUCCAAAUGAGGAAGCACCUGAAGCUUCCCAGGUUAAGAGAAUGUUCUCAAGUGAUAGCCUCACUUCGGAGACCCAGCAAAAGGACAGAAGCAAAUGGUUCAAGCAACUUACAUGGGAGCAAAGAAUGGAUCUUGCCUGUGAGAAAGGAACCCUUGUUCAACUUCAAAACUUGGACCCGUCCUAUGCAUCAGGUGAAAUUGAGGAUAUAGUAAGGACCUAUUUGAACGUAAGGUGCACUGCAAAGGUGUUAGAACAGAGUACAUUCUCUAGCCCUCACAAUGGUCAAGCUCUUU